rnacentral:lncRNA from 1 species
CAGCAAGAAGCGUGGAGCAGCGGAUCAGCGCUCUUUCUGCCUCAGUCAGCAUCCAGCUCUGUUGGGAGAGAGCGGUGAUUCAGCCACUGCGCUGAUCUCAGGGAGCAAGGCCCUCCUCUUGGGCAGUGAAUUGGGAGCAGUGAACUCUGGAGCUUUAUGGAGAGGUUUGAUGCUGCUGCUUUGUGGGGACUUAAAUGUAUUUGUGUUUUUCCAUCGUGGCAACUCCCUGCUCUCUUGAUACCAUGUUUGGACCUGGGAGCCUUCAGUGCAACAGCUAUUUGCAGUCCUGAAGAAAGCAGGUUGCUGUCUACUCCUCCAGGCGUGUCCAGAGCGCUUGGCCAUGAUUCCAGUCUGGGAAAUGCCUUGAGAGAUCUUCAUCUCAGCUGUGUUAGCUAAGCAAGGUGAAGCAGGUGAAGUACAGGGUUUCCAUGAGGAAGGCAGUGAUUAGUUCUGGAUUCUGCUCUCCAGUCUGCAAAAUCCCUGAUACUGCAAGUGAGUGCGUGACCUGCCUGUCUGGGUGGAAGUGGUGCACUUGGUCUGAAAAGUCAUUCGACAGAAAGUGAUGCAGCUGCAGAGGCUGCCUCUGACACCUCUGCUACUGAUGCAGGAAGUUAGCUUUGAACAUUUCUGAAGGAGAAAUGAACCAUCACUUGUUCUAAAUAAUUGGUCACUCUUGUCCAACUCUGUAACUCUUGAAUAGGAAAAAAUAGGUACAAUAUUUUUAUCAUGUACCGCUUGUGAGACGAUGUUCCAAAGAAAGAUGUGCUGCUCUCCUUUCAAACAUGAAUAUUCUCUGUGGAAGCCUCCUGCUACCUGGGGUGCAGGUCUGCUUUGAAAGUUACACUGCUGGGCACUAAAGGGAACUGAGCAAAGUUCGCUCUUUGUGUUUCAGGUUCUUUUGUCUCCAACAGGAAAGGCUGUAACUGGAAUAUAAAUAAAACCAUUUUUUCCCCUGAAAUGAAAUGUAGACAGCUUUGGCUAUCUGGCAGUAAUUCACUUUCUGAGUUUCCACCUGUAAGUGAUCUAACUCUUAACUGUUAAACAAGAACCUUUCUAUUCAACAGAAAUACACCUUAUAUUCAUGAUUUCUUAACUGGCACUUAGAAUACUUGUGACAUUUGGGUUUUUUUUUUCCUUCUAAUUACAGGUUCUAAAAUUACACCUAUGAACAAGAGUGAGUGUACUGUUGUUUUCUAAAAUGAGGUAAUUUUUUCUCGUUUUGGCUUUGAGUACAGCUCCACAAACAGUUGCAUCAGCACUACUGAUGAGUAAACUAGCAAAAUGGUAGAAA